AUUGAGCGCUGGCGGCAGGCCUAACACAUGCAAGUCGAACGGUAGCACAGAGAGCUUGCUCUCGGGUGACGAGUGGCGGACGGGUGAGUAAUGUCUGGGAAACUGCCCGAUGGAGGGGGAUAACUACUGGAAACGGUAGCUAAUACCGCAUAACGUCGCAAGACCAAAGCGGGGGACCUUCGGGCCUCACACCAUCGGAUGUGCCCAGAUGGGAUUAGCUAGUAGGUGGGGUAAUGGCUCACCUAGGCGACGAUCCCUAGCUGGUCUGAGAGGAUGACCAGCCACACUGGAACUGAGACACGGUCCAGACUCCUACGGGAGGCAGCAGUGGGGAAUAUUGCACAAUGGGCGCAAGCCUGAUGCAGCCAUGCCGCGUGUAUGAAGAAGGCCUUCGGGUUGUAAAGUACUUUCAGCGGGGAGGAAGGCGGUGAAGUUAAUAACUUCACCGAUUGACGUUACCCGCAGAAGAAGCACCGGCUAACUCCGUGCCAGCAGCCGCCGUAA
rnacentral:rRNA from 1 species